rnacentral:rRNA from 1 species
CAAAAACAUAGCCUAUAACUUAACUUUAGGUACAACCCUGCCCUCUGAAAUUUUAACAGCCGCGGUAUCCUAACCGUGCUAAGGUAGCAUAAUCAUUUGCCUAUUAAUUAUAGGCUAGCAUGAACGGGAUCACUCACUUAAAUUUAUUUUCACUACAAUUAAAAUUAAACUUUAAGUUAAAAUACUAAAUUUUUAAGAAAGACAAAAAGACCCUGAAAACUAUUAGAAGAUAAUUAGUUGGGGCAACUAUAGACCAUAAACAGCGUCUAUUAAAAUUCGAAUUUUAAAAUUCAAAGCACACAGUUACUUCAGGGAUAACAGACUAAUUGUAUUAUUUAGACCUAAUAAAUAAUAAAGAUUGGCACCUCGAUGUUGGCUUAUAAUUCCUUCAUAUAGUAACAUAUAUUGAUGGCAGCUUGUUCAUCUGAUAAAUAUUUACAUGAGCUGAGUUCAGACCGGCGUAAGCA